UACGUAGGGGGCUAGCGUUGUCCGGAUUUAUUGGGCGUAAAGAGCGUGUAGGCGGCCACGCAGGUCCGUUGUGAAAACUGGAGGCUCAACCUCCAGCUGUCGACGGAAACCGUGUGGCUAGAGUCCGGAAGAGGAGACUGGAAUUUACGGUGUAGCGGUGAAAUGCGUAGAUAUCGUAAGGAAGACCAGUGGCGAAGGCGGGUCUCUGGACAGUUCCUGACGCUGAGGCACGAAGGUCAGGGGGAGCAAACGGGG
rnacentral:rRNA from 1 species